UACGUAGGGUGCAAGCGUUUGUCCGGAAUUAUUGGGCGUAAAGAGCUCGUAGGCGGUUUGGCAAGUCGGGUGUGAAAACUCCGGGCUCAACUCGGAGACGCCACUCGAUACUGCUAUGACUCGAGUCCGGUAGGGGAGUGCGGAAUUCCUGGUGUAGCGGUGAAAUGCGCAGAUAUCAGGAGGAACACCGGUGGCGAAGGCGGCACUCUGGGCCGGGUACUGACGUGAGGACGAAAGCGUGGGGAGCGAACAGG
rnacentral:rRNA from 1 species